GAAAGUCCUGCUGAGGUCCGAUGAUGGAUCCAGGCCUGCAGAUCCUGAUCCAGGCGAUGGCGUCAGCCGCUGUGAAACGAUAGUGCUUCAUCAGGUGUCGGCCAUCUUCCCCAUUAUCCUCAGUGUCCUGUUUUCUAGCAUUCACGGUUUUGACCAUUCUUCCUGCCCUGACCAUGCCUGUCGUUCUGUACCUUGUCACACCACCCUGGAUUACUGACCUCUGUCUGCCCUGACCCUGAGCCUGCCUGCCGUUCUGUACCUUUUGGACUCUGCUCUGGACUACUGACCUCUGCCUGCCCUUGACCUGUCGUCUGCCUGCCCCCCUGUUUCUGUAAUAAACCUUUGUUACUUCGAAACAGUCUGCAUCUGGAUCUUCUCCUGAGCCUUGACAUAGAGAGUAAUGGUGAGAGAGAAGGAGUAAGCCUACUGUUGAUAAAUCAGCCUAUU